rnacentral:rRNA from 1 species
CCUGGCGGCACUAGCGCGGUGGUCCCACCUGACCCCAUGCCGAACUCAGAAGUGAAACGCGGGAGCGCCGAUGGUAGUGUGGGGUCUCCCCAUGCGAGAGUAGGGAACUGC